GCAAAGUAGAUGCUCAUGCGUUAAGUGAUCGGAGAACGGGAAGUUGUCUCCGAUACGAAGAGAUCCUCUCGCGGUGUGAGUGUCGCAUUCCGUUG
rnacentral:ncRNA from 1 species